ACAAGCGGCGGAGCAUGCGGAUUAAUUCGAUGCAACGCGAAGAACCUUACCAAGGCUUGACAUACACCGGUAACGCCCAGAGAUGGUGCCCCUUUGUGGUCGGUGUACAGGUGGUGCAUGGUUGUCGUCAGCUCGUGUCGUGAGAUGUUGGGUUAAGUCCCGCAACGAGCGCAACCCUCGUCCUAUGUUGCCAGUCGGGUCAUGCCGGGGACUCAUGGGAGACUGCCGGGGUCAACUCGGAGGAAGGUGGGAUGACGUCAAAUCAUCAUGCCCCUUAUGUCUUGGGCUUCACGCAUGCUACAAUGGCCGGUACAAAGGGCUGCGAUACCGCGAGGUGGAGCGAAUCCCAGAAAGCCGGUCUCAGUUCGGAUUGGGGUCUGCAACUCGACCCCAUGAAGUCGGAGUCGCUAGUAAUCGCAGAUCAGCAACGCUGCGGUGAAUACGUUCCCGGGCCUU
rnacentral:rRNA from 1 species